rnacentral:rRNA from 1 species
CCUACGGGUGGCAGCAGUGAGGAAUAUUGGUCAAUGGGCGCGAGCCUGAACCAGCCAAGUAGCGUGAAUGAUGACUGCCCUACGGGUUGUAAACUUCUUUUUUAAAGGAAUAAAGUGAGGCACGUGUGUCUUCUUGUAUGUACUUUAUGAAUACGGAUCGGCUAACUCCGCGCCAGCAGCCGCGGUAAGACGGAGGUUACGAGCGUUAUCCGGAUUUAUUGGGUUUAAAGGGAGCGGAGGUGGGUUGUUAAGUCAGUUGUGAAAUUUUGCGGCUCAACCGUAAAAUUGCAAUUGAUACUGGCAGUCUUGAGUACAGUUGAGGUAGGCGGAAUUCGUGGUGUAGCGGUGAAAUGCUUAGAUAUCACGAAGAACUCCGAUUGCGAAGGCAGCUUACUAAACUGCCACUGACAUUGAUGCUCGAAAGUGUGGGUAUCAAACAGGAUUAGAUACCCGAGUAGUC